rnacentral:rRNA from 1 species
CAGGAUGCUGGGAGCUGCGAUGAUACAGCUUGUCACGCGUGAGUGAAGAAGGCCUUCGGGUUGUAAAGCUCUUUCAGUUGAGAAGAAAAAUACGCGAAUAAUACUCGCGUUUCAUGACGGUAUCAACAGAAGAAGCACCGGCUAACUACGUGCCAGCAGCCGCGGUAAU